AAAACUUCUAAUGCACGGUCUACGUAAACACCCUGUACACAGUUAAGCUCAGCUAAAUAUCUAUAAUGCCUCAGCAUUCGUAUACUUUUCCUCUCUGUCCCGUUUAAACACGGUCCUGAAAAUGUUAAAUGGCAAAGGAGCCCGCAUCUCAACGCCUGAACUGGCCGUGUUUUCAUCCUUCUGCAGUCAUUUUUAUUCCGCGGGUUGCCAUUGAAUAAUCACGCAAUCUGAAUAUUGAAUUAUUUUCUAAUCAAACUAGUCAGGUCACGUGUGAAAUUUUAGCUGCGGACCUUUGCAGUUCCAUUUUAAGUAACGUUUUGGAAAAAAAACAGUGGUGUGAAGCCCAGUCAAAACACAACUUUUUUGGAUUGAAUCAAAAAAAAAUUGGAUUAUGGAUUUUAGAAUAAUACUUAAGGAAAACAACCAGAACACCACGGAGCAGGCGACUAUUUACCAAGAAGAAAAAACAGUCGACUACACAAUCACGUUUGUCAUAGGGUCUUGUGUUCUAAUAGCAUUUUUGCUACUUGGAGUGGUUGCAAGCGCUUAUUUGUGCGUAACUUUGAAGAAAGGAAGCUUCCUGUGGGUUACGGAUAGUAAUAGACAAUUAGCUAAGGAUAAAUGCGAGGAAAUCGGACAAAAUGAUA